rnacentral:lncRNA from 10 species
UUUUUUUUUUUGAGACGGAGCUUCACUCUUGUUGCCUAGGCUGGAGUGCAAUGGUGUGAUCUAGGCUCACUGCAACCUCCACCUCCCAAACUCAAGCAAUUCACCUUCCUCAGCCUUCUGAGUAGCUGACGGGGGAGGAUGGCUUGAGCCUGGGAGGUAGAGGCUGCAGUCAGGCAAGAUAAUGCCGCUGCACUCCAGUCUGGGCAACACAGCCAGACAUUAUCUAAAAAAAAAAGUGUUAUUGUAAAAUUUGCCCAAUAAUAUAGUCAAUACAAUAUAACUCAUACCAUGAAGCAACUGCUAAAAUUGCUACUGCAAUCUUAGGCUAUAUUAGUAAAAGCAUACAUACAAGUAACAUGAGCUAAUAUUGCCACUGUAAUCUAUAAAGUUUAGAUGACAAUCCUAGAAUAAAAUUUCAAUUAUGAACAUCUAGAUUGUAAGAAUAUG